rnacentral:lncRNA from 10 species
UAAAAAACACGAGUUUCUUUGCACGAGCUCUUAUUUUUUUUGCCUGCUGCCAUCCACGUAAGAUGUGACCUGCUCCUCCUUGCCAUUCGCCAUGAUUGUGAGGCCUCCCCAGCCAUGUGAAACUUGAUAACAAGAACAAUAUGAUGGAGAAUGAGCUGUUCCCUGACCAGUGAGAAAAAUGUGACUUUCAGAUUCCACAGAAACAGCAACCCGGAGAAAGCAGAAUUGUCCAAGUUUCCACAGCACAAUGGUGACCUUGGGGGCAAAAAAGACACAAGGUACGCUGACUGCUCUCUGGCCAAUGAGAAGAAGGAAACUAAAGCAUGGAGUCUGGGGUUCAAGAGAAUAAUUCCUCAGGCCAGAUGCCAGGGCUGUGAAGAUGUGGAUGGUUACUAAACCUCUCUGGGCCUCAGCUCCCUCUUCCCACGUACUGCACAUUUUAAACACAAUGAAAUACUAUUAACUCAGGAUGAGUUCAUUUAGAAUGUGGGUUUUUUUUCCUUUAAAGCUCAGUUUGCUAGCUUCUAAAAAUUAACCUAAAUAAAUAGAAG